rnacentral:tRNA from 1 species
GGAGAAGUGGCAGAAAAUGUGUUUGAUUUGAAAUCAAUUGAUGAAGAUUAAUAUCUUCCUUCUCUU